GCCGCAUUGGCGUAGUGGUAUGCGCGUCGCACUUGUAUCGCCAGUUCCUUACUGCCGAGCAAUGCGAAGGUCACUCGUUCAACCCGGGUAUGCGGCA